AGAGUUUGAUUAUGGCUCAGGAUAACGUUGGCUGUGUGCCUAAGGUAUGCAAGUCGAACGAUCCCUGGGAUAGUGGCAAACGGGUGAGUAACACGUGGAUAACCUACCUCGAAGUCAUGAACAGCUCAUCGAAAGAUGGGAUAAUACAUGAUGCUUAUAUUUUCUUUAGAUUUUAUAAGUAAAGCUUUUGCGCUUUGAGAGGGGUCCGCGUCCUAUCAGCUUGUUGGUGAGGUAAUGGCUCACCAAGGCUAAGACGGGUAGCUGGCGUGAGAGCGCGGUCAGCCACCAUGGAACUGAGACACGGUCCAUACUCCUACGGGAGGCAGCAAUUAGGAAUCUUGCGCAAUGGGGGCAACCCUGACGCAGCGACACAGCGUGGAGGAGGUUAGUUGACUCCUUUUAUAUGGGAUAGAACCAUAUGAAUAAGCACCUGCAACUACGUGCCAGAAGCAUCGGUGAUGCGUAGGGUGCAAACGUUAUCCGGAUUUAUUGGGCGUAUAGAGAGCGUAGGCGUUUUUGUAAGUCUUUAGUUAAAUAUCACGGCUCAACCGUGGACAAGCUUUGGAUACUGCAAGAAUUGAGACAGGAAGAGGCGAACAGAAUUCCCAGUGGAGCGGUGAAAUGCGUUGAUAUUGGGAGGAAUAUCAGUGGCGAAGGCGGUUCGCUGGUCCUGUCUGACGCUAAGGCUCGAAAGCGUGGGUAGCAAAACGGAUUAGAUACCCGUGUAGUCCACGCCGUAAACUAUGGAUGCUAGGUGUUCGGUACAUUCAGUAUUGAGUACCGCAGUUAACACGUUAAGCAUCCCGCCUGGGAAGUACGGCCGCAAGGCUAAAACUCAAAUGAAUUGGCGGGGACCCGCACAAGCAGGGGAGCGCGUGGUUUAAUUCGACGACAAUCGAAGAAUCUUACCAGGGUAAAUGAUCUGCAGCCUUAUGAAAGUAGGAGUUCGGGAUCAAGGUGCUGCAUGGCCGUCGUCAGCUCGUGUCGUGAGAUGUAGGGUUAAGUCCCGAAACGAGCGCAACCCCCAUCCCAUGUUACAAUCUUGGGAAACUGCCUCGGAAACGGGGAGGAAGGUGGGGAUGACGUCUGGUCCGCAUAGCCCUUAUGUCCUGGGCUACACACGCGCUACAAUGGCCGAUACAGUAGGAAGCCAAAUCGUAAGAUGGAGCUAUCCUCAAAAUCGGUCUCAGUUCGGAUUGAGGUCUGAAACUCGACCUCAUGAAGUUGGAUUUGCUAGUAAUCGUAGAUCAGCAUGCUACGGUGAAUACGUUCUCGGGUCUUGCACUCACCCCCGUC
rnacentral:rRNA from 1 species